rnacentral:misc_RNA from 1 species
GAUGAAGAACGCAGCGAAAUGCGAUAAGUAGUGUGAAUUGCAGAAUUCAGUGAAUCAUCGAAUCUUUGAACGCACAUUGCGCCCCUUGGUAUCCCGAGGGGCAUGCCUGUUCGAGCGUCAUUUCACCACUCAAGCCUGGCUUGGUGUUGGGCGACGUCCCCUUUGGGGACGCGCCUCGAAACGCUCGGCGGCGUGGCACCGGCUUUAAGCGUAGCAGAAUCUUUCGCUUUGGAAGUCGGGGCCCCGUCUGCCGGAAGACCUACUCGCAAGGUUGACCUCGGAUCAGGCAGGGAUACCCGCUGAACUUAAGCAUAUCAAUAAGGGGAGGA